GCCCGCUACAACAAGAAGCCCACCAUCACCUCCCGGGAGAUCCAGACCUCCGUCCGCCUCGUCCUCCCCGGCGAGCUCGCCAAGCACGCCGUCUCCGAGGGCACCAAGGCCGUCACCAAGUUCACCUCCUCUUAGAUUGCCAUGUUUACAUCUCAGAAACUGUAGUUGGCUGCCGUGUAUCUAAAACUAGUGUUUAUUGCUCAAUGGAAAUUGGUGGAAUGCUGUUAGUUUUUCGUUCGAUUGCUGAUGUUGCCGUGCCAUGUACUGAUCUGAAAUAGUAAACGAUGUGGUGCGCAUAUUUUGGGAGGAACCCUCGGUUCUGAUUUCUGAAUUUGUUGCUCGUUUGAUGCAUGGCCUAGCUUUCUGACCGAACUGUGUUAUGUGACUGUAAGUGAUGUAUGUUUUCUUUUGGAGACUUGGAGAAAUGUCAUGUGGUAAUUUGGCUGAAGAAACCAGG
rnacentral:lncRNA from 1 species